GGUUGUGGCUCAGAGGGUACUUCGUUCGCCUACCAUGCGUGAGGCCCUGGGUUCGAUCCUCAGCACCA
rnacentral:tRNA from 1 species